rnacentral:lncRNA from 10 species
CUCUUGCCUUCUGCCAUGUAAGAUAUGACUGUGCUCCUCCUUCACCUUCUGCCAUGAUUGUGAGGCCUCCACAGCCAUGUGGAACUCCAUGAGUAUGACUAUGUGCUGAGUCCUGUGAGUCCUCCUACUGAAUCAUCAAAGCCAGGGGGGAAGCUGUUUUUCCCUCUUUGGGGUCUCAGAGAGAUUGGUGGCAAGGACUCCUGGGAAGAGAAAAGCUGAAGGACACUCUGGCAAGAGGCCAAGGUGAGAGCCUCGUGGGAAUUUCACAAAUUUUAUAGAAGCAGAGGAGUGCUAUUUGAGCAAGGGGCGGAUAACACCUACAAUCCACUCAGGAUUUCCAAGCAUAGCCGGAUGCAGAAGUACUCAUACUUCACUACAGAAUCACCUGGGGAGCUUUUAACCUUCUGAUUCUAGUGUUUCCCUCUGGCAGAUGGAGACAGAAACUUGACUGGGCUCAGGAAUAUGUGUUUUUAAAAUUCUCCAGAAGAUUUUAAUGCAGUACAAGUAAGAAGACAGGACUGCAAUUCACAAGAACAGUAUAUCCUGGUGAUUCCUCAGAACAGAACAGACUCAAAAAAAAAAAAAAAAGAAGAAGACAAAAACAAAGAUAACAUGAAACCAGAUUCCACAACCAUGUUUCAAGUGACCUAUGUGAGUCAGGCCCAUGAGACACAUACUACACCAGUUUCAGUGAAGCCUCACAAAAUUUAGGGGGGUAGAGGAAAGGGUCCUAUGCCCAUUUCAUAGAUGAACAAACUAAGGACUUAAUAGAUUUCAACAAUUUGUUCAAAGUCUCUACCUUAAAGGAUUUUGGGGUUCUGGUUUUUGUUUUUACCUGCCCUGGUAACUCUUCUAAGAAUGAGCCAAGAAGAAGACAACCUUCUAAGAUACUUUUCCUGCCCUCCAAGGGCUGUGGAGAAUCUGAUAGGGUUGGAGCUGCCCUCUCCUCUUCCCAGAGACACUGCCCCACAAUCCCAUCAAGUCUGACUGGUACCAACGACUCCAGGGGGCCUCUGCCUUCAGAACUGUAUAGGCCUGUGUGGGCACCAGUCUUUACAUCCAUGUUCCCUCUCCCUCGAGGACCCAGGUUGACCUGUCCAAGAGCUCUCUCAUCAUGCUGAAUUUUGGUGACAGCAUAGGGUGAGCCUGUGGAUUCUACAGCUCAGCAAACCUCCAGCCAAGUAGUUUCCCUUCAUAUGGUUCCCCAGUCUUUACAUGUGGCAUCCAAGAAGGGAAAGUAUCCCCUCUCCCUUGAUGAGAUGUCAGCCCCUCACCACACAUGGCCUGGGUGCUAGGAGGACCCAUACGGGCUAGGGAGGGGCCACUGGGAGGGGAAUGUGUAGGGGGCAGACCCCAUCUAGCUGCUUCUUGAUGAGCCUGGCAUGGAGUGUUUGAUCCAAAUCUUGACAGCACAUUGGUGGCUGUUGUCACUGUGUGGCAGGACUUGCAGUUGAGCUUCUUGUGCCUUGGACUUCUUGUGACUUGGACCUCAGCCUCCAUUGAAGACCGUAACACAAGUCCCAACUUACAAACAAAUGAGGGAAUGAAUGAGCUUUGGCAUUGGAAAAACCUGGGUUCAAAUCCUGGCUACUCUACUUCCUGUGUCAGUUGCUUCACUUUUCUAAAUAUAAAUUGUGUUCCUUCUGUUUUGGCUUCUAGGAAACCCCGAGCCAAACGUAUGGCCACCUCUGACCACUCGACCAGCCCAGCAUGGUGUACAUUUCUGGGUAGCUUAUCACGCCUUCCAAGCAUUGCCUUUAUCUUCCUUCUCCCCAUCAAGCCUGUAUUGUUUUCCUUUUGAAUCAUAAGCACUUUUGUUAAAUACCUCAAAUCUUUCGAGAACAGCAAGGAGCAAAAUAAACUUAACUUCUCUGAGACCAUGU